UACGGAGGGUGCGAGCGUUAAUCGGAAUUACUGGGCGUAAAGCGCGCGUAGGCGGUCCGCUAAGUCAGCCGUGAAAGCCCUGGGCUUAACCUGGGAACUGCGGUUGAUACUGGCGGGCUAGAGUGUGGCAGAGGGUGGCGGAAUUUCCGGUGUAGCAGUGAAAUGCGUAGAGAUCGGAAGGAACACCAGUGGCGAAGGCGGCCAUCUGGGCUAACACUGACGCUGAGGUGCGAAAGCGUGGGGAG
rnacentral:rRNA from 1 species